rnacentral:lncRNA from 1 species
UUUAAGACAAAGAUAUGUAAUACUAUACUAUCUUAAAAAAUAGCAUACAAUCACUCUAUAAUCCAAUCAUUAAAAUCCUCUACAUUUAAUUGUCAUUCUUUCUAGACUUCUUCACAUAAAUUCAAACUCCAAAGACUCCUAUUCAAACCUCAAUAUUAUAAUUCUUCCAUUCAUAUCUAUUCUUCACCAAUACUUUUAAUUUUCCACUUAUAAUUCUCCACUGUAUUCAUCUAUAAUAAAUUUCAUACUUUAUAUACAACAUUAAAUCUCUUUUUCAUUCCAAAAGUUUACUUCAUAUUAUUUAGAAAUUAUCCAAUACUCAUCAAUUACUAAAAAAUAAAGAGGUAGCACUUAGCUUGUCCUAGUGCAUAACUGUCAUAGUCUGGCCCCUCCUACUUCUCCCUCAACCUACUUAUGCUUACCUCGAAAUGCCAACUACUAUACAAUAUGAUGAUAACUACUUUUUUUGACUGAAUCAUCCAUCUUGCCUUCUAAACUAUCUAUUCAUCAAUUUAUUAGCUUCUCUUAACCCUACAUAUUGUGUAUUACAAAACAAAAAAAUCCUACCCAUUAUACAUA